rnacentral:tRNA from 1 species
GCGGGUAUAGCUCAAUUGGCUAGAGCAUCUGCCUUCCAAGCAGAGGGUUAAGGGUUCGAGUCCCUUUACCCGCUCCA